GCAUGAUGGGAGGUGAGUGAGGGACUCCGCGUCUUCUGACACAGGCAUCUCACAACACCAGUGCAGCUGGACCUUUGUCUGGUAGGUCUCCGUGCACCCACGAAGACCUGGGCCUGCGGGAAGUCUGGGGCCCACUGCUGUGCAUGCUCGUUUCUUGAGCAUCUGAGUCACCUUUACAGUUUGCGAUGAUUGAUGAGGUCAAACAGGACUCACUUGCAUUGUUGGGUCUCUGUGGUGACAGGGGGGACUUGGAGAUCAAAGAAACUCUAGUAACAUGGAAAUUCAUGCUCUGAGUAGUGACAAGCCAGUGACUUUUUCUAUAGAAAGGGUACCAGACUCCAAUGUGAAAAUCUCAAGCAGCUUUACAUUCAAGCAAGUGCAGUUCAAUCUCUUCCUGACUCAUUGUCUCAUCAACAUGCAAAGCUCUUGAAGAGAAACCAUCUCUUACUUGCCUGAGGGAAUUCUGGCAGACGUUUUGAAUGUGGAUGUGGAAGUUCUUCCCUCGUCUCCAUCCUGUCAAGAGCCGUGGAGCAAACAGCAGGAUGAGGAAGACAUGGAAGACAAAACUGAUAACGCACGUCACCUCGCUGCAGCAGGAGAUGGGAUGUAACUUCAGUUCAGCCUCUUUGGGGUUUGGGUUUUGACCAAGUAAACCGGGAAUGUUGUUAACACAUCAA